UACGUAGGGUGCGAGCGUUAAUCGGAAUUACUGGGCGUAAAGCGUGCGCAGGCGGUUAUGUAAGACAGUUGUGAAAUCCCCGGGCUCAACCUGGGAAUUGCAUCUGUGACUGCAUAGCUAGAGUACGGUAGAGGGGGAUGGAAUUCCGCGUGUAGCAGUGAAAUGCGUAGAUAUGCGGAGGACACCGAUGGCGAAGGCAAUCCCCGUGGACCUGUACUGACGCUCAUGCACGAAAGCGUGGGGAGCA
rnacentral:rRNA from 1 species